UCCAACACUUAAAACAAAAGAAAAGAAGCAGUUCUAAUCCAAAAUGAGCAAGAAAUACCUUGAAGUAAAUUUUAAACAUUUAAAUUUCACAGUUUCAAGGCCUGUGAACUCCCCUUCUCUCCUGCCGGCUCUCCUGACACAAAGCUGUGAUCUCUAGUAACUGUUUCUUUUAAUAAUGAAGGCAAAGAUUCCGCUGCAUCCAUUUGGUUGCAGGAAGUAGAGUCAGGAAAAAAAAAAAAAAAAAAAACCCCCCCCCCCCCCCCCCCCCCCCCCGGAAAAAAAAAAAAAAAAACCAACACAAAAGGAGUUGUGGUAAAAAAUAUAUGAGUUGGCAGUGUUGUUGUAUCUUAUUUUCCAGGCUUAAUAGAGCUGGAUUUGAAGACAAUAUCCAGGGACAAGAGCUUAAAAAUGGAACAUUUACUAACCUAAAGAUUCUUAUCUUCACACAAAAAUCCAGGCAAAGAGAAAGUUUCAACUGAUUUUCGUGAAGCAGUGUGUGCACAGGUCUUCGUAGGCUGAUGUCUUGAUAAUGAGUUGUAUUUUCCACCUGAUACACCAAAUCUUAGCCAUACAGAUGUCUCCCACUAGCAGGGAGGAAAGUAUUCCAAGAGAUUUGGAAUCACACCUGCAAGACAGAGACUGGAUCAGUAUCGGGUCCACAGUAAAGAUAACAGGUAAAAAUAACAGAAAACCUGAAGCUUUGAAAGGAAUUUUUAAGGUUAUGUUUCUGCCAGAUUUGUUGGUGCAGCCUUUUUUAUAAGUAGCAAUAUGCUGCACUUGAGAGGGGAAAAAAAGCAUGAAUGAGUCUGUUCAAACUAAAGAAAAUGUAAGAAACAUAACACUAUUGUCAGUAUCAUCAACGUACUGUGAGCAUGUACACAAGUUGCUAUUACUGAGCUUUAGGAAAGUGGUAUUUGGAACAUUUCUAAAGGCUUGGAGAAUCAAUUCAGAUAGUUAUCUGGACUGAUACAGAGAUGGAGUUGGUGGUGAGCAUUCUGAUAAACAAUUUAUCCACAAGCCCAUUCAGGAAUGCAGAACCUGUCUUACUCAUGUUUUUGCUAUUUCUUUUCCCCUUGUUCACUUCCUAUUUAGAAUUUAUUACUACUAUCAAGAAUUACUCAGAAUAGAUGAGUAAAUUUUCUGUUGGAGUAGAUAAGUGCAUU
rnacentral:lncRNA from 1 species